rnacentral:rRNA from 1 species
AGCAGCCGCGGUAAUUCCAGCUCCAAUAGCGUAUAUUAAAGUUGUUGCAGUUAAAAAGCUCGUAGUUGAAUUUCGGGGUCAGUAGUUUGGUCGUGCCAAUGGUAUGUACUGGGCUCACUGAUUCCUCCUUCCUGAUGAACUGUAAUGCCAUUAAUUUGGUGUUGCAGGGAAACUGGACUGUUACUUUGAAAAAAUUAGAGUGUUUAAAGCAAGCUAACGCUUGAAUACAUUAGCAUGGAAUAAUGAAAUAGGACGUUCGAUCCUUAUUUCGUUGGUUUCUAGGAUUGACGUAAUGAUUAAUAGGGAUAGUUGGGGGCAUUAGUAUUCAAUUGUCAGAGGUGAAAUUCUUGGAUUUAUUGAAGACUAACUACUGCGAAAGCAUUUGCCAAGGAUGUUUUCAUUAAUACAAGAACGAAAGUUAGGGAUCGAAGACGAUCAGAUACCGUCGUAGUCUUAACCAUAAACUAUGCCGACUAGGGAUCGGAUGAUGUUUAAUUUUUAAUGACUCAUUCGGCGUACC